rnacentral:rRNA from 1 species
GAUGAACGCUCGCUACAGGCUUAACACAUGCAAGUCGAGGGGCAGCGGUAUCGAAAGCUUGCUUUCGGUAGCCGGCGACCGGCGCACGGGUGAGUAACGCGUAUCGAACCUGCCUCAUACUCGGGAAUAGCCUUGCGAAAGUAAGAUUAAUGCCCGGUGUUUUCAGAGUCCCGCAUGAGGCUUUGAACAAAGAUUUAUCGGUAUGAGAUGGCGAUGCGUCCCAUUAGCUUGUUGGCGGGGUAACGGCCCACCAAGGCAUCGAUGGGUAGGGGUUCUGAGAGGAAGGUCCCCCACAUUGGAACUGAGACACGGUCCAAACUCCUACGGGAGGCAGCAGUGAGGAAUAUGGGUCAAUGGGCGGAAGCCUGAACCAGCCAAGUAGCGUGCAGGAAGACGGCCCUCCGGGUUGUAAACUGCUUUUAGUUGGGAAUAAAACGGGGCUCGUGAGCCCCCUUGCAUGUACCAUCAGAAAAAGGACCGGCUAAUUCCGUG